rnacentral:misc_RNA from 1 species
CAAAUCGAAAAGUGGGUGGUUGGGGGGGGUGUAGGGAGUGGGAGGAGUGCGGAUGGGUGUGCGGCUCUGCUGCGUGUUCUGCUGCGUGCUCUCCUGUUCUCUGCGCUGCCUGCCUGCCACCGACAUUUGGUCGGGAUGCGAGUCCCGGAUCAUAUUCACGCUUGUGCUGUUUGACAGAGUAACGACGGAUGAAACAUUGA